rnacentral:rRNA from 1 species
ACUCAAAUGAAUUGACGGGGACCCGCACAAGCGGUGGAGCAUGUGGUUUAAUUCGAUGCAACGCGAAGAACCUUACCUGGUCUUGACAUCCCGGGAACCUCGCAGAGAUGUGAGGGUGCCUUCGGGAACCCGGAGACAGGUGCUGCAUGGCUGUCGUCAGCUCGUGUCGUGAGAUGUUGGGUUAAGUCCCGCAACGAGCGCAACCCUUGUCCGUAGUUGCCAUCAUUCAGUUGGGCACUCUACGGAGACCGCCGGUGACAAAUCGGAGGAAGGUGGGGACGACGUCAAGUCAUCAUGGCCCUUAUGACCAGGGCUACACACGUGCUACAAUGGCGAGUACAGAGGGUUGCCAACCCGCGAGGGGGAGCUAAUCCCAGAAAGCUCGUCGUAGUCCAGAUCGGAGUCUGCAACUCGACUCCGUGAAGCCGGAAUCGCUAGUAAUCGCGAAUCAGCAUUGUCGCGGUGAAUACGUUCCCGGGUCUUGCACACACCGCCCGU